UCCGUGCAGUGCUUACCUCAGGCAGCUCCUGGGAAGCGGUCAGCAUGUCCCUCUGGCUCCUAGGAGCCCAGUAGGGACCCUGCCAGCCCUACUGCGCCACCAACUGGACGUUUAACGGCCCCGUCAGCAGUGCUGACCAGAGCCGCCAGGGUCCCUUUUUGACCAGGUGUUCCGGUCAAAAACCGGACACCUGGCAACCUUAGCAUCAAGAACAUUUGGGUUCCCCACAUACCCCUCGCCACAGGGCUCCACUCCCUGCUCCUCCCCUUCCCCCCCAAAGCCCCACCCCCCUGGCCAGGUCUAGAAGUUGGAGACGGAUCAUGGUAGGGCUGCCCAGGAACCCUGGGCUGCUAUGGCGCGGGGACAUGUGGUGGCCCGUGCAUUGAUCUGCCACUGUGUAGCACACAUUCCCACCUCUUCACAUUUUUUUGUUUGUUCCGACGGAUGCUUGGAAUGGUUCUUUUGCAGGAUGAUGUGCACAUGUGCCAUGAGGUGCAAGGGAUGUGCCCUGUUAUGCCCUCAUGCUACCAGUGCCGAUGCCAUGGUAGAGAAUGACAAGCCUUCGCCUGAGCCAGUGCUAGAUACACUGUGUGCUGGCAUAUCUGGCUAUUAGGAAGAGCCCGUCGCCAUUUUAGGGGUGGAUCUCAAGGAGGAGCCAGACAUAGGAUUUAGUCCUGGUCUGGAGAGAGGACGUCUCUAGUGAGUAACCCCAUCUCUCUUCCCCCACAUAAUGUAGUGGAGUUCACAGGGGAAUAUAUUGCGUCUUCAUGAUGGCUGGAGGAAGGGGACAGCAGCAAGUGGCUUCUGGAGCAACACGGGAUGGGCUGUGGGAGAGGCUGAUGGGGCAUCAGCCAGACUUGUGAUAGCAAUCCCAAUAAACUCUUCUGAUUUCUUAAAACAAAACAAAAAACCACAAACCACUAUUCCAAACCCUGGAAGGGAAGAUGGAAUGAUUGAAAAUCUGAAUGUAAUGUUUUAAAUGGAAAUCCAAAGAUUAAACUGAUUGCAGUUGUUGCAAAAGCUAAUCACAACAAAUUCAAAUAAAAACUACAGUGGCAGGCAUUCUACUGUUAUUUAUUUAGUAAAUCCUUUCUAUUUAAAGAGUAAUAUAUACACAGAUAUGGGGAAUUAUACUGCAGAAAGAAGGUUGAAAAGGACUUUCUGUUUAGAGUAUUUAUAUACUGCAUGUAUAACUAUAGGAAAUACCUGCUUUACAGAGUGUAUGUUUUCAUAGUGCUUUGAUGAAGUAGGGCCCAAUCCUGCAAGGAAAUGAGUGGAUGCCACUCACUUUGAUGUCAAUUAACAGUAGAUGCUCACCACUUUGCAUGCUCUGACCCAUACAUUGGCAUGUAAGUGCUAAGUAUUUAUUGUAUUAAUAAAUAUUUACAGAGUUAAAGCAAAUAAAUUUAUUUUCCCUGAGGCAUUGACUGAAGUAUUAAGAUUACACUUGCCAAACUCCCAUAGAAAUUAGUGGAGCUGCACAUGUGAAUGAGGGUGGAGGGUGCCAAAAACAGGGUUGCAUGUAAGGUUAGUGUAGCAAUUUAUUAUGUUGCUUGUCCCAGUUUCUCCUUUUUUCUUUUUCUUUUUCUUUCUUUUUUGUUUUUUGUUUUGUUUAGGGUAGUGUGUGUGGGGGAAGAGAAUCAUGAUUGAGACCAGCACUGUAAGGAAAACAGAGUUAGCAGAAAUGUCUCCCUGUAUUUUAAGUGGGAAAUUCAAGACUUUGACUCUGAUUAUAGCAAGGAUAUUUAUUAUCCUUACCAUAGCCUUAUGAGGUUACUGCUCUUUUUCCAGGUGCAUUAUCUAGAUUAGUGAUGGUUUUCCAUAGAUUCUGAGGCCAGAAGAGACCAUUGUGAUCAUUUAGCUUGACUUCCUGUGUAAUACAGGACAGAGAACUUGCCCCAAAUAAUUCCUAGAGCAGAUUUAACACAAUUUUAAAAUCAAGAUUGGAUUUUUAUUUUUAAGUGAUGGAGAAUCCACCACAACUCUUGGCAAAUUGUUCCAAUGAUAAUUGCUCUCACUGUUAAAACAUUUAUGCCUUAUUUCCAGUCUGAAUUUGUCUAGCUUCAACUCACAGCCAGUGUUACUUUCCCAGAUGACUGUAUUAGUCAGUGAGCUGGGAAAUUAAAUUAUCUCUAGAACCUAUAGAACUGUUACAUUAUUAAAAAAUGUUUAUACUUAAACACGAAGAUGUUUCAAGAAUGUUGUUUGCAACACUGGAUAUAGUCCUGUUUGCAGUGUGUGCACCAAUAUUUUGGGCAAAGGCUAAAAGGGAAGGCUUAAAAAAGGCUGUAGGACCCAGCUGAAUGUAUCAGAAGUAUACCCACAAUGAAGAGUAAAACUCAAAGGAGUUGUAGUUAUAUCAAGAAGUCUUGGAUACACCGAAUGCACCUCAACCCUGAUUCAGGAAAGGUCUUAACUCCAUCCCUGUUCAAGACUGCCACUUCAGAGCAUGCUUGGUCUCAUGGACUUAAGUGCUGGGACUUCAGUGCAUGCUUACGUGUUAUCCUGAAUAGGGGUGUGUUUUUGAAUUGUCUCUAGUGCUGGAACAUUUAAAGGUCUGUCAGCAUUACCAUUAGAAACACAGUUUUUCAUCAUGGCUUUGUGAUUGUAAAAAUUAACUAAGACUGAAACUUGGCAGAUACUUCUUGGUUUAGGAAUAUUUAAAAAGCUGCCAAGCAAUUUAAAUGUAUACAGUUCACUUGACAACCUGGAGAACUUAAACAGCUUCUAUUUUCAUAUGUAAUAAAUAUAUUACAGGUAGAAGGAAUCAUGGUUUAAACCACCAGAAAACUUAAUGGGGGAAAAGUCAAGUGUUUUACUCCCACAAUUGCAAUAAGAGUAUUUUUAGGCAAUACUUAAACAUGAAACUUAAACACAGCAGUUUUCUACCAGGGAUACUCUGAAUGUGGCUCAUUGCUGUGCUUAGAAUCACAGUAGAAAUGUUCACAGCAGCUAAGUUUUCCGGAAAGUUGUUUGAGCAUGCUAUCCCAUAGUGAGAAAAAUUAGGAAUGCAGAAAAUAGAGCUGGAAUUGAUUACUCUUGAUAUCAUAAUUCAGAGGUCAUUCUACAAGAAACACUCUACUCUAUAAGAAAUGGGUGUGAUGGUGCUUUUAAAAGGCCAUCAGAAGUAUUUGAUUUUAAUGGACUUCUUUUACUUGAAGUGAAGUAGCUAGUCGCACUAAUAAAAUUGUGAUGGUGAUCCAAGUUAAAAUGGUUCAUAACUAACAUACUGGCCUGAAAAGAACCAGGAAAGACAUUAGUUCCCCAGGAUAUUUAUAACAUGUAUAACAGAUUAAACAUUUUCUUGACACCUGUUAAACUUGCCUGAAAUUUUAAUCAGCUGUGUGGAGCUGACUUUUCUGGGAGAAUUCUAGCUGGAAGUUAGAUUUUAUAGAACAUAUGGAGUCAAAAAUACUUUUUUGCUUUUUAUCCUAUUUUCAUCAGAUGACUAAAUUUUCCGGUAAUCAAUCAAACGUAGAGUCUCUUGGCUUUUUGUCCCCCAGAUUCACUAGCGCCGCAGUAAUGUUGCAGAUCUUACUUUCUUCUUUUCUUUUGCAAACCCCACCCAUUGCUUUGAGAAGCAGCAGGAGAGGGAAAAUAGGGUGGAGGUGGGGAGUGGGAGGAGCCAUUGACUGUACUUAGUGUAUUUUAGGAAUCAGCAAUAGAAAAUAUCAGUUAAUAAUAAUCUCUCCUCCUGGUUUCCAUCCCGACAACAGCAGCUCAGUUCUGAAGCGGAGAGCAAAACUAAGGGGUGAUGGUUCAAUUUUUUCACUAAUACAUGGAAGUUUCCUAUAUAAUAGGAACUGAUAGACCCCCCCAAAUAGACCCUCAGAACUUUUGGUGGCAGAGAAGAUCUUAAAUCUCAGAAGAAAUUGAUUUGAUCUACCUAAUCCAAAAGCAGAUUGAUCUUUAGAGCUUUUGUUCUACAGUUAUAGUGUAGUACUAACCCUUAGGGGCCAGGAUCCUGGCUUCAGUUAUGGCCCUGAGGGGCAAGACAGCGGGUCUAGCUGUCCAGCUGAGGGUUUCUGCA